rnacentral:rRNA from 1 species
GGGAGCCUGAGAAACGGCUACCACAUCUACGGAAGGCAGCAGGCGCGUAAAUUACCCAAUCCCAAUUCGGGGAGGUAGUGACAAGAAAUAACAACUCGGGCGGCGCAAGCCGUUGCGAGAUUGCAAUGGGUACAAUUUAAAACACUUAACGAGUAACAAUUGGAGGGCAAGUCUGGUGCCAGCAGCCGCGGUAAUUCCAGCUCCAAUAGCGUAUAUUAAAGUUGUUGCAGUUAAAAAGCUCGUAGUCGAAAUUCUGGCUGGUCCUGUUUCCGGCUUCGGUCGACUCAGGACCUAGUCAUCCGUCGGAGAACCCUUGUCGUCCUUCACUGGUCGCUUGGGGGAACUGACCCUUUACUUUGAAAAAGUUAGAGUGUUUCAGGCAGGCUGUCGCCCGAAUACUCCAGCAUGGAAUAAUGGAAUAGGACUUUCUUCUAUCUUGUUGGUUAUUAGUAGAAAGUAAUGAUUAAUAGGGACAGUUGGGGGCAUUCGUACUUAAUUGUCAGAGGUGAAAUUCUUGGAUUUAUUAAAGACUAACUUAUGCGAAAGCAUUUGCCAAGGAUGUUUUCAAAG